rnacentral:rRNA from 1 species
ACGAACGCUGGCGGCGUGCCUAAUACAUGCAAGUCGAACGCUUCUUUCCUCCCGAGUGCUUGCACUCAAUUGGAAAGAGGCGUGGCGGACGGGUGAGUAACACGUGGGUAACCUACCCAUCAGAGGGGGAUAACACUUGGAAACAGGUGCUAAUACCGCAUAACAGUUUAUGCCGCAUGGCAUAAGAGUGAAAGGCGCUUUCGGGUGUCGCUGAUGGAUGGACCCGCGGUGCAUUAGCUAGUUGGUGAGGUAACGGCUCACCAAGGCCACGAUGCAUAGCCGACCUGAGAGGGUGAUCGGCCACACUGGGACUGAGACACGGCCCAGACUCCUACGGGAGGCAGCAGUAGGGAAUCUUCGGCAAUGGACGAAAGUCUGACCGAGCAACGCCGCGUGAGUGAAGAAGGUGUUCGGAUCGUAAAACUCUGUUGUUAGAGAAGAACAAGGACGUUAGUAACUGAACGUCCCCUGACGGUAUCUAACCAGAAAGCCACGGCUAACUACGUG